CUUCUUUUAUGAACCAAACUGAAAAGUAGACACAUGAAUCAAAAAGAAGACAAUAAAAAUAUAAACUUUAAUUGUAAAGACAUUGGGUUUGCUGCAAAAAGGACUUCACAGCUGAACAAAAAAAAAAAAAAAACUUAGGGAUCACAGGCAGAACUGCAGUGUCCCAACUCUCAUGGUUCCCUACAUAGAGAAGGGAAAGAAAGACCACUUUUUCUAAAGGUCACCGAACUCACACUGAAAGUUUAGAGCUGCAUAUUCUAGGCCCUUCUCCCCAGUUCACAUACGGGGCAAGCCUCUCUUCUUUAGGGAAGAGUGAAUGAAGGCAGAGGUUCUGAAACCCUGCGCACUAAUGUUUUUAUUUUGUUUCUGUUUCAUAUGGCUGUUCAUCCCCUUUUUUCCCCUGAUUUAAAAAUACCAUUGCUUGACCAGGCACGGUGUCCCAUGCCUAUAAUCCCAGCGGCUCAGGAGGCUCAGGCAGGAGGUUCUCGAGUACAUAGCCAGCCUUAGCAACAGCAAGGUGCUAAGCAACUCAGUGAGACCCUGUCUCCAAAUACAAAAUAGGGCUGGGGGUGUGGCUCAGUGGUCAAGUACCCCUAAAUUCAACCCCUGGUACCCUCCCUCCCACAAAUAGCAUUGCUUCUUACUUGGCUCUACCAGUCUUCUCCAAAUUUUAAAUGCCACUUACUAUUGCUGAGGUUUGAAAGCCAAAUAAAUUUUGUAAAAAACAUAUUUUUAACUAAAUAAACACACUGACUUCAAUUCUCCUUAGAGGCCAGCUUUUGUAUUCAGGGUAAAGGAGGGUACUUCUAGAACCACGUGUCAAUUGUAAAAGAGACAAGUAGGUGGGUGGCACACACCUGUAAUCCCAAUGGCGCAAGAGGCUGAGGCAGGAGAAUUACAAAUUCAAAGUCAGCCUCAACAAUUUAGCAGUCUACUGUCUCAACACAAAGUAACAAAAAAGAAAGUUGGGCUGGGGAUGUGGCUUUUAAGUUCCCCUCAGUUCAAUCCCUGAUACAAAACAAACCCCCCCCCCCAAAAGCAAACAUUUUAGACUCAUUAUUUAAAAAAUAAAUAAAAAAUUUUAACUAAUUUGGCUUUAGAAUAUAAG
rnacentral:lncRNA from 1 species